rnacentral:lncRNA from 1 species
CGAACUGAACACCUAUAUCUACAGUCCAACCCACUACUCAGUCCAGCCCAAUAGCCCACUAAUUACAAGAGAGUGAGAGAGUUAGAGCUUCAGAUUAAAUCGUAAUUCCUUCGAUCUUCUUCUUCAAGACUUCAAUCACCUUGCUAUUGUUGUUUCUUCUUCAAUCACAUAGUUGCUGCUACUAAUCAACAUCAGUCUACUAAUCAUCUUCAAUUCACAUCAUCAUCAAUUCCUCUAUCUUCCAUCAACAUCAUCAUCGCGAUAAUUCCAGGUUAGAUCGAACUCCAUCUUCAUUCUCUCUUAUCUUGAUAAUUCCUGGAAUCUCUGUUCAUUCCUUCAUCAAUUUCAAUAACCAAAAGUCCGAAAAAAUGAAUCUGUAAUAUGAACACUUCGUCAAUUUCUUCAAUUUUUGUUCAUUCUCUCUCUCUCUCUAAAUAUCUUGAUAAUAUGAACACUUGUUUAUUCCUUCAUCAAAUAUGAAUCUACUGUAAUAUGAAUACAUGGUAUUUCUUUCAUCAAUAAUGAAUCUACUGUAAUAUGAAUCUAGGGAAAUUUCUCAAAAAACCACCACCUUUAGGUGUCUCUUCCCAUAUAGCCACCAAUGAGAGCUAAUCUUCCCAAAUAGCCACCUUACCCCACUUGCCUACUUUUUCUUUACAAUUAUACCCUUCUGUACAUCUGUUGCUCUUGUCUCCAUCAAAUCAACUUUUUGGUUGAAAAGAAAAGAUUCCUUUAUUGCAUUUAAGUUUUAGAUAAGGACAUUAAAUCAAACUUAGCCGUUGGAUUGGAAACAAUAGAUCCCUACCGUUGGAUUUUCUAAUUAAUGUACUGCACAUACAACCACCAUGUCAUCUUCAUCUCUUCUCUUCUUCUACUUUUUCGAUUUUUCUCUGAACCUUAACAUUGUUUGUUAUCCCUUUGUUCUCCCUUUGUUCUGCACCUUCUUCUACACUAUUCUUCUCCCCAACCUUAAACACACAAACAUUGUACUUCUUCACACCCAAAAUGCCACCAAAGAAAAAGGCAAAAUCGAAAGCUCUAAUUGCAAAUGAAGUCCAGAUGAACAGUAAAUUAGGUAAGUAAGCUUUAAAUGUUCUUAAAUUUGCAGAUUUCAAUGUUUGGACAAUAAAGUAGGUGUUGUUGUUUGGCUUUGAAUGCAGUAGGUGUCGUUGAUUUGUGUAAGCAUUUUAACAUACGUUUUGUUCUGUUUUAUGACAAAAAUGUGGUGAAGGUGUUGGCGAUUUAAAGAUGGUAUCUCAUGAAAAGAUAGAAUCUUUAUAAAGAUACCAUCUUUAUGAACCCUAACCUUCAUAAAGAUGGAAUCUUUGAUAAAGAUUGUGUUUUUAUGAAAUCCCAACCUCAUAAAAGUUGUAUCUUUAGCAAACUCACAUCCUCAUAAUUUAGAGACAAGCUAACAUAAAUGGUGCUGUGAUUUUGAUUGUUGUUCAUUAUCAGUUUACUGGUGUACAUCUGAGGUCAAUGUCACUCUGUUUUAAAAGUAAACUAUAACUUAUAUUCAAUUAGAGGCUAAAUAAAAGUAUACUAACCGACUUGUUAGUUACGUUUAGCCGAUAUAUUUUAAUACUUUGCAUGAAAUUGUGGUUUCAGGUAGCACUAUCAAUGUUGUGUUUCGCUAUGGUGGUCAGGUUGAGACUAAUGCAGAUGGAUUGUUAUCAUACAAGAAUGGUGACACAAAAAUAACAGUUUUGGAGUUGAAGGCACCAUAUGAAGAGUUUAUGGAGAUGGUUGAAGAUAUGACUCAUACACAAAGACACAAUUUUUUAAUUCAAGCUGUCGUCAAUGACAGUCCACGCAGCAUCCCUGCUCAAUAUGACUAUGAUCAAUUGAUAUUGGGGAUUGUUGCUGCCAAGAACUUAUACGUCAUGUCUGUUUGGAUAGUAGGAGAUUUGAAAUCAAUGAAUGGGGAAUCAAGCUCCAAAACACAGAAAAAUGUGAAAGGAAAGGAGAAAGUAAUUGAGGAAGAAAAAGGUAAAGGAAAAACUGGAUUGAAAAAAAACCUUUUCCCAGAACCUACCCCUCCAACAGAUUGGGGUAAUCAACCUGAUUAUUCAGAUUUUUCCACACCUGUAAAGCAAGGUUGUAUUUCUUCCCAAUAUCUCCUAGACCCUGCAUCAGCACAGAAGAGCCAUGUUAUCUUCUCAAAGGGGUAUGGGAAUGAACAACAACCUCUUGUAUUGGAUACCCCACCUAGGACUUAUCCCCAAGCUGUUAUAACAACUUCCCCUCUUGCUCCUUCUAGAGUUUCAUCUAGAAUUGAAUCUCCAUUGGUGGCUAAUGUUGUGCAAAUUGGAGCUGAUAAUAAAGUUGGGUACAGUUCUCAUGACAUAUCCUCUAAUGCCGGGGAUAUAUCCUCUAAUUCUCCCAAUCUAUCCGCUAAAGAGUGUGCUGCAGCGGCAAUUCUUUCUGAGAUGUGUAAUAAUGAUGGAUUUUGGAAAGGAUUCUCCGAGGAAAUUGAAGAAUAUAAUGCACUGCAACAAACACAACUAAAAGAUCAAGCUCAAUGGGCAGGUGAAGAACAACCACAAGAUGAAGGUAAAGAUUGUUCGAUAGCCGACGACGAUAGCGAUGCAACUUAUACAGAAUCUCUACUGGAUGUGCAUGAUUCACCAAUCAUUUGGACCACAGAGGAUGAAUUGGAAGAUCAGAUGUAUGAUGAUUCUGCGCCUAUGUUUGGUUCACAACAUUCAGAUAGCCAGGAAGAAGGCCCUACACCCCUGUCAAGGUUUUAUGGUGGAAAAGAAAACCCCUUAGAUGUAGCAGGUACGUCUACACGUUUAGCCAAUGUUAGAUGCAACUUAGAGGAUAGAUACAGACAUGCAUGUAGCGACAACAAUGCUUCCCAACAUGAGAGCAAUAUACCAAGUCAUGGACAACUUCCAGAACAUUUUCCAAGCCAUGACAAUGCUCAACAUGAGGAGGGUAAUUUCGCAAGUCAAACAAAUGAUCCACAACAACAAGACAAUGUUCAAAAUCAGACAAAUCCUCCACAGCAGCAAAACAAUCGGGAUGAAGAUAGUGUACGACGUCAAAGGCAUUACCCAUCUCAGAACAAUCGAGAUGAAGAUGAUGAAAUCAAACAAGAACUACAUAAUAUAUACGCAAAUCUUCGUCGGAUCAAUAGAGGUUGUGCUCCACACACUGAACCUUUACACAAUAAGUACUUGUUCCCUAAGAUUGGGCAGAUAUAUUUGUGUCGGGAUGAUUUUAUGAGAGACAUGAAAUCUUAUGCAAUCGAUGAGGAGUUUGACCUGAAUAAGUAUAAAACUGAGAUGAAAAGGGUGUAUUGGAAAUGUAAAGUUCCAACUUGCCCAUGGUAUGUUCGUGCUACACCAAAUUUGAAUGGUACUUGGCAAAUAAGAUGCAUUGCUGAGCGUCACACAUGUGGGAAGUUCAGACUUGGAUCAAAAAAUCGUCAAGCUGAUAGUGAUUGGGUUGCAUCUAAAAUUGCGAGAAAAUUACGGGAUAAUGAAGAUCUUACAUCCAAACAACUAAAAAGCCAAAUUGAGGAGGAAUAUCUUACCCAGAUUUCGUACAAAGUUGCUUGGAGAGCUAAAGAAAAGGCAUUGGCCAAGGUAUUGUUCUAUUUAAAAUUGCACCUUCCUAUCUUAUCCUCUAGUUCAUUCAUAUAUCUCGGCUACUUACUUUUAUCAUCUCCUCUAAUUAGUCAUUUUUAUCCUCCACUUGUAGUUAAGGGGAAGCUUCAGUGAGUCAUAUCAACAACUUGAAACAUACUGUAAUGAACUUAAGUUGGUCGAUCCAGAUUCUCAGACUGAUAUUAUCACAGGCCCUGGUGAUGAAUUCCAAUGUAUGUUCUGGUCAUAUGGUAUAACUGUGAGAGCUUACAGAAACACAUUAAGAUCGGUAAUCAUUAUAGAUGGAACAUUUCUGAAAGGGAGAUAUCCUGGAGUUGUACUAUCAGCAAUUGGAAUUGAAGGAAAUAAUCAUGUGUUCCCUAUUGCUUUUGCCCUUGUGCAAAAAGAAAACAAUGAGUAUUGGGAAUGGUUUCUUGAAAAACUUAGGGACCAUGUGGUUGGGACUGACCACGAGUUUGUGCUUCUUUCAGAUAGGCACAAAAGUAUUAUUCAAGCUGUACCAAAGAUUUUGCCCAAGGCUUGUCAUAUGUAUUGUGCCCAACACAUGUCCCUUAAAUAUGGGAAUGCAAAAGUAAGGUGGUUGCUUAAAGAGGCUGCCAAGACACUCAAUCAAAAUGAGUUCUGGGGUUUGAUGCUGCAAAUAUGGGCCAUAUCUCCAAAGGCAUACCACAGCCUAAUGGCAAUUGGACCACUAAAUAAGUGGGCUAGUGCGUUUCAGGAGAAACCCAGGUCGGUAUCUAUGCAUUUCCAUAUCCUCUACUAGUAGUCAUUCUACCGUCUAAGUAUAGUUAUCAUACCGGUUAAUUGUAUAUCUGUCUCCUCUUCUUAAGCAGAUAUGGAAUUAUUUACACUAAUCAUGUGGAGUCGUGGAAUAGAAUGAUUAUACCAGAAAGAAUGCUUCCUGCUACAAAUCUGGUCGAAGGAAUUCAUGCCAACAUCAUGAGGCAUCACAGAGAUUAUCGUGUUGAUGGUGAGAAAUUCAAGACACCUGUAACUAAGUGGUGCCACGAACAAAUUUUGCAUAAUGCUUGGAGAGGUAGAACCUUCACUCGUGAGAAGACAUCUCCAACUAUUUGGACAGUUUAUGGUGAGAGCAGGACAUGUGUGGUGGACUUGAAUGCAAGAGAAUGUACAUGCAAAUGGUGGCAAACUAUGGGAAUACCCUGUGAGCACGCAAUGUCUGUCAUUAGAGAAUGUCAAAUGGAUCCAUACACAUUUUGUGGUGUGUACUACAGAAGGGAGACAUAUAUGGAGACCUACAAAGAAAAUUGGAGACCCACAAGAGGAAAGGAUGAAUGGCCAAAGGAUAGAGUAGGCAGAAAGAUUCUUCCACCACUACCAUGUGUUAUGCCUGGACGUCCAAAGAAAAAGAGAAGGAGAGGCAAACUUGAAGGUAUCCCAGUACAGGAGAGAAGAUGCUCAAGGUGUAGGGGUAUAGGACACAACAAAUCAACAUGUAUUGAAGUUGUACCAGACUUUGACUAUUUUUUCCAACCUUUACCUGAUGGACCACCUGAUUCCUAUUAAGUGUUGGGUGUUUUUUUAUCUAAGUUAUGCCUUUGGAAGGUGUACCAGAUUUUGACCAUUUUGUUUUAUGUUUGCCUUUUAUAUGGCAAAUAUGUAUCCGCUAGUUGAAGGAUUAAUAUCCUCCAACGAGUGAAACGUUACCAUCUAAUGUAUACUAACUUGUUGUAUUAAUGAAAAUCAUUUGUACAUCCAACAUUACAAGAGUGAAGAAGCUCAAGGUGUACCACACUUUGAAUAUUUUUUGACCAACUGAUUCCUAUUAAGUGUUGGGAGUGUUUUGGAAGUUGUACCAGACUUUGACCAUUUUUUUCUAUGUUUGCCUGUAUAUGGCACAUUUUGUAGGUUGGGUUUUAUUUUGUAUGUUUCUUUGCUUAUCUUCCAGAUAUCACAUAUGUAUCCUCUAAUGGUGAUGAUUAGUAUCUCUAACUAGUAAUUAUGUAUCCUCUAACGUAUACUACAUAUUGGACGAACAGAACAUGUAAUAUAAUAAUACUUUCAUAAUUUUCAUAAGGGAAGGGAAAGGAAAAGGGUUUGUACAUCCAUACAAGACAAGAAAAAAAAAACUUCAACAACAUAAAAAAAAACAGAAAACACUUCAGCAAACAUAAAAGAAAACUUUCACUCAUCAUCAUCGUAAUCUUCUUCUUCUUCUUCGUCUUCUUCUUCUUCAUGUUCACCAGAAAAGCUGCUCUGCACCUCAUCUUCCUCUGCUAUGUCCUUAUCCUUUGCAGCAACACAUUCUUGGGAAGAAGGCACGUCGCUGUCAUCAGGGUACUCAACAAGAGGAUUGGGCUGGACAUAAUCUGAGGUAUUCAAGGAAUCAGACUCAUCAUCUUUCUUCUCUUCACUUGCUGAGGUAUUCAAGGAAUCAGACUCUUCUUCGUCAUCAUCAUCUUCUUCAUCAUCACUGAAACUUCCAAGGAAAGGGUCUGAUAUUUUGAGAAGCUUCAGAAAGCAUUCAUCUACAUCCUUGAGUAGAGAAACAGAAAUAGAAGCCAUAGUUUUGAAAAAAAAAGCUCUCAAGAAUGGUUUGUUUGAGUUGUAACCUCUACAUGGAUUUAUACUAGUAACAUUUAAUAAAGUGGGAAGAUCAAGACGCGGAUUCCAAGCAUUUGACUAAUUUUUUUCACCAUCCAACUAAUAUUCUUUAUGACCAUUUAAGAACAUCCCUCAAAAGUACCAAAAUACAUUGAGGGGAAAGUAAAUAUUGACGGGACAUUAAACUUAUCUAGUUUUACAAAAGCUUAGUCACCUUUACACUGUUCACACAUCUCUAGAGUGUAAUGCAUGAAAUACAAGGGUGUCCAUGCAUCUCUCCUAGUGCCAAAUAAGGUGGCACAAAGUCUUGAGUUAUAUCAAUGGAAUAUUUGUGUUCUGAAGGACCAAUACAGGGGAGUUGGGGAGAGAGAAUGGCACCAAUACAGGGUUUUGUCGAUGCUGUAAAAUGCCUUGAGGACCCUGCUGGUAGUAAGAAUAUCCCAAAUAUCUUUGGGCAGGAGGUGUGAGGUUUAUCUUUAAGGGUAAAUUUAGUAAGGGUCUACUAUACCGAACGCAAUGAUGAACUUUUUUCUAUUGUAUGUGAGACUAUAUACUAUCAGUCCAAACAUAGUCACGCAAGUCAAAUACUAAAUACGACAAUCAUCGUUCCUUGGUUUUAUUAACUGUCCUCACAUUGUUACACAAGAGCCAGUAAAUAACAAAAAUAUAUACGACUUGCUGAAAUAUUAUCUAGUUGUACAAAAGUUUAGUCACACUGUUCAUACACCCUUACUUGGUGGCUUCAAUCCACACUGAACAAGGUCCAUAGCAACACGUUUCCUCAUAAGAGCAGACCUUCUCUUGAAAGCAAGUUCCCUACCCCUGACUAUACAAUCAAUGUAACCAAGCAAAAAAACACCACAGCUGUGACCAUCAUCUUGUUCUGGGCAAUUGACAAACUCCCUUUCCCAUGCAAAUUCCAAGUCAAAAUCUGGAAUGUUAGGGUCAGCAGCAAAGACCACAUAAGGCAACAUUUUCUCCAAACCUAUCUGUUGUCUUGAUGGUCUCUUCAAGCCCAAAGAGUCAUAUAUUCUCACCUUCUUUUCCUUAAAGCUGAAACUCAAGAGCACCCAGUGGUUAUCAUUGACCUGCAUUAUUAACAAAUAUCAUAGGUUUUAGCAGAUAUUACCUUUGUUAUUAGAGGAUGUUCUUAAAGUACAUUAGAGGGUACAAAGUCAAUACUCUUACUUGUAAAGGAAUAAGUAUAACCUUUGCAUGGUAAGGGGAAACUUGGUUCUCCAUAUGACCAGUAGGGCUCAUAAUGUUUAUGGCACCUGUCUUAAUUUUGAAGGCACCACUCCUAACUCUGUUUGCUGGUGAUAGUGCAGCAAAAGUUGGAUCCCUCAUACGCCUAUUGUAUGUAUAUUGAACAUCACCAUAAAGCAUGCCCUGACACAACCAAACAAAUAUAUUUGUAUCACCAAAUUACUCAUAGUGUAAACUCUAAAUAACAAAACUGUAUCCUCUACUUAAAGGUUCAAGUAUAAGAACUUUAAAAAAAAAAAAAAAAUACUUACAGCAAAAUAUAUUGUUGGAACAAUAGCAUACUGAUUAUGUGGGUUGAUAUGCCUCCUCAUCAUUCCAUACCAACGAAUGAUCAAGCUAACAUAGGCUUCAAUGAUAUCUCCAUGCACCCAAUUAGUGUUCCAUAGGCUGUAAAACUGCUUCACAUGGACUUCCAAUCCAUAUCCAUAAACCCUCAUCACUUUAUGCUCAAAAUUUGGCUCCUUCGCCAACCACCAGUAAUAGUUCAAAACAUCUGUCUCAUUAUGAGUUGUAGUUCUGUCUAGAAAUGACAUGCCCAUGGUAAUCAUCAGCUGAGCAUCAACUUCUUUCCCCUCUUCCUUCCCCUGAUUCUUUUUUCUCAAUCUUUUCUGGCUGUUGUUAAAGUCAUCAAUAGCUUGCUUAUCCACUUCUUCAUCUUCUUCUAAAUCACCAGUGAAAACUAUAUCAUCUUCAUGGUGUUCAAGAUUACCCAUCUCACCAGCUGAUGCACCAUCUAUUUCCACUAAAUAUUCUUGAGGAAUAUUCUUAGGAGCUGGAAUGUCAUCAUAAAAGCUAUAAUCUUCUUCAUCUUGCUCAUCUUCCUUAGCAUCUACCUCUUGAAUUUUAGUAGGCAACUCUUUCAGAUCUUGCACAUCAGUAUUCUCAGACUUGAGGAUGGCCAACUCCUGCACAUGCUCCAUGGUAGUAUCAAGAAUAUCUGAUUGGGCCAAUAUUGCCAUUGCAUCAGCAACAAUAACUUCUUGUGCUGUAUUACCUUCCACUGCAACAUUUCCUUCACUUUCAUUUUGUCCUUCUCCUUCAAGCUUUUCUUCUCCUUUAACAUUUCCUUCAUUAUUAGCUUCUACUGCAAUCUUUCCUCCACUUUCAUUUUUUUCUUCUCCUUCUCCUUGGACUUUUUCUUCUCCUUCAACUUUUCCUUCAUUACUAAGUUUUCCUUCAACUUCUCCUUCAAUUUUUCCUUCUCCUUCAACUUUUUCUUCAACAUUCUUUCCUUCUCCUUCAACUGCUCCUUCAACUGCUCCAUCAUCCUUUUUUUCUAUCUCAGCCCCCCCUUGGGUGCUUUUUCCUUUCUUUUGAACCUGUAUGUCCUCAUCUUCAUCACUAUCUGGCCUUGGAAUAAAUCUUCUUUUUUUACUUUCUUCUUUGGCAUUUUUUCUCUCAGCAAUUCUUGCAUCUUUGGCUUUAAUAUUUUUCCUCCAUGACCUGUCAAGACCUGCUACUUUGCUUUGCCUGAGGAUAUAAGACAAAUAGUAGAUGGUAUAAAGUUAACAAGUAGCUGCUAAUAAUUAGGGAUUUAGAGGAUAUAACUGAAAUUCAUACCUAAGAGGUUGUUUUCUGGUAGGAGGUGGGAUGGUCUUCUGUUUCUUUGGUGGAGGUGGAGGUGGAGUCACUUGUUGCUUCUCAUGUUCGAUAAUUUGACUUGUGCUCCUUGUGACCCUCAUCCCACCUAAACAGAGUCGUAUAGUUUGAGACCUCUCUGGAGUUGUUGCAAUUGGUGAACUUAACUUCUCACUGGCAAUUUUCUUGCCUUUUCUAUCUGCACUAGGACUUGAAAUGGUCUUUGCAUUGGUUUUAGAUGGAGUAGGUUUUCUCUUGGUUGGAGUGGAAAUGCUUUGACUCCUUGUAUUAACACCAUUCUUGGAGACUGCUUUGGUGGUGGGGGUAGUUGUGUUGCCCUUCUUCAGAACUGACUUGGGUGCCAAAGUUGUUUUGGUCUUGGGUGUAGCAGUUGUUUUAGGGUUAGCCUUGGGGGCAGGUACAGUUGUUUUAGACUUGGCUACGCUGCUGCACUCUUCUUAGUUUCAUUUCUCUUACUGGGGGUACUUGGUUCCUUCCUCUUUUUGGUGGGGGUACUUGGUUCCUUCCUCUUUGUGGUGACCCCACUUGGUUCCUUUUUCUUUUUGGUGGAGGUACUUGGUUCUUUCCUCUUUCUAGUGGGGGUAGUGUUCUUCUUCUGUUUCCUUCCUUUAGGAAUGUUUCUAAUCUGGGUUGAAGAUGAAGACCCCCCUUUCAGUGCCUCGGGUUUCAAUAUCUUGCUUACACCAGAAACAACUCCUUCCUCAAUGUCUUUUACCACUCCCUUCAGAAUUCCUUCCAGUGAACCCACACCUAUAUCCUUUUCUUGCUUGUCAAGUUCUUGUUGCCACUACAACAACAUUAUAUACAUGCUAAUAUUAACAAAUAAUAUUUCAGAGUCUAGAGGAUAUAAUUGUAAUUUUAGCCGAUAAGAUAGACAUGAUUUGAGGAUGCAUAUAGAUUGUUAUAUGUAAUGUAGGAAUUUACUAUCUACAAGAUAGACUAGGCAUAAUGUAUGGGAUAUAAAACCUAAUUAGAGAGUAGUAUACAUACCUUUUCUGCUUCAACAACAAGUGCUUCACCAGAUUCUUGAAGAGUAAGGAAAGGGGGAGCAACUUCGAUUGCUUUUCCGCGAGGAGGGUUAAGCUUCUUAUCAAUGGUUUCUCUACAUGUUGUUUUUCCUGGAAGAUUCUUCCAACCAAGCAUCCUAGGGAAUGGUGGUACAUCAGCUUCCUUUCUAGGACCUAGACAUGGGAUGUGGCUGUAUGCCCAGACAAUAAAUGCAAGCACACACCCAGGUAGAUUGUAACUCAGUUUUUGGGCUGCUUCAUUUGUUGCUGCUGUUUCUAGAGCAUUUUCUAACAGAUUGAACACAACAGUUCCCCAAGGAAAUUCAUCAAAUUUCUGAAGAUUUGAUGCAAGGUCGACAUACCUAAGAUCAAUGGUCAUAUAUGUUACAAGACUAUUACAGUAUACAUAAACCAUGUUAACAUUAUAUAACAUAACAUAUUUACCCUAAACCUUGUGCAUAUACUAAAUGUAGAGGAGACAUGAUUAAAGUUUAGAGGAUAACAUGCUGAUUUCUAGCCGAUAACAGGACACAAAUAUGAAGCCUAAAUAUUACUAUUUAGCAUAUAAGAAUAAAAACCACAAUGUUGUCAGAUAACAUUGUGUGAAUUUUAGAAGAUAACAUGAACAUAUUUAGCAGAUAAUAUAACCACAUUUGAAGAUAAAUGUGUGAAUUUUAGACAUACCUGACAUCGAUGGUAUUAGAUGCAUCUGGUAGUAGGCAUGUUAACAGAAGCAACAAACGAUUCAAACGAUGCACAUCAUCACCAGAAUUAUGAUCAUUUCGUGCUACUUCAAUUGCAUCUUUCAUGUUCUUUUCCUUAAUGCUUUUCCUCUUGCCAAAAUAUUUCUCCCUAAAUGGACUUGGAACUUCUGAUUCCAUGAAAAUGAACUCAUGUGGUACACGACCAAUUUUCAAUCCUAAAUUUAAAGUCACAUCAAAUGGUUUGAACUGCAUUUCCUUUCCCCCAAUCUUGUACUUGAAUUUACCAUGUAACAACAGAUGUAAUCAUGUGCAAUUUAUCUGUUUGAACAUCUAAGAAAUACCUAAAGCAUGAAGAACUAAAAUUUUCCUUCUCCAACAGAGGUAAUUUACUCCCAAAAUGAUCACCUACCUUCUUCAUUGAGCAUCUUACCGUUACACUGAAAUUACGGCCAUAUUUCUUUCUCAUCUGUUCUACUCCACUUGAUUCUGGAAUUUCAUCAUGUUGCUCUUGAAUUUUGUCUACUUCUUCUUCCAUUUGUUGUUGUUCCUCUUCAAUUCGUUGUUCUCCUCCUUCAAUUUGUUGUUCUCCCACCUCAAUUUGCUGUUCUCCCACCUCAAUUUGCUGUUCUCCCACCUCAAAUUGCUGUUCUCCCACUUCGAUUUGUUGUUCUCCCACUUCGGUUUGUUGUUCUUCGCCUGCAAUUUGUUGUUCUUCUUCUACAUGUUUCUCUUCUUCUUCUUCUUCGUCUUUCUUUCCAAAUUCUGCUUCUUUCUCUUCAGUUUCUUCUACUUGCUCUUCAAUUUUUUCUUCAAUUGCUCCUUCUAACUUCUCAUUAACAGACAUUGAUACUGUUUCUAGGGUUUUGGAGGUGGUGGAUUCAACAACCAUUUUUUGUCAAAAUUAAGAGUUCUAGAACUACAAGGAAAUAAUUGAAAGGGUAUAAUUUCAACAAGAAAUGGUAACUGUGUUAAUGGAGGCGGUUGGAAGAAGAAAAUUGGUUUUUGGUAAGUUAGGGUUCUUGUUUGGAAGUGAUUAUCUUCUCAAAAUUUUCCCGCCAAAAUUACCCUCCAAACGGCUACAAACACGUGUCCUCUUUUCGUUGUAUGCACAAAUCCAUGUUUAAUCUCAACCGUACACGUCAUUUAGUUGGAAACAACUGUUAAGGGUAGUUUUGUAAAUACAUCUGAAUAAUAAACGGUUGUGAUUUAAUCUCUCAUUUCUAGCAAAAUCAAUGGUUGUAAUUUUUAUAUAGGUUAUUGUGAAGGGGUCACAUCAGCUUGUACUUGGUCAAAUCAAAGCAAAAAGUUUUGUCAUAAGUACAAAGGGUAGUUUAGGUAAGAAAAAUUCUGAAAAGUGUAAAGUGGUGGGGUAAGGUGGCUGUUUGGGAAGAUUACCUCUCAUGAGUGGCUAUUUGGGAAGAAGCACCUAAAUGUGGUGGUUUUUUGAGAAAUUUCCCAUGAAUCUACUAUAAAAAUGAUUAUGAAUCUACUGUAAUAUUUGGAUUGAUUAUGCAUCUAGUUGUUUUAUGUUAUGCAUCUACUGUAAUAAUUGAUUAUGAUUUUCUUUUUGCAGUAUUGUCUAAAUGGCUUCUACUCGUUCUACUAAAAAUAAAUAAAUACUUUUUCGUAACCCAAGUCUACUGUAGUCAUAGUACAAAAUAUCGUUAUCGACUAAUGUAUCGAUCUCCAAAAAAUAGAUAUAUCGGGAUAUAUUGGAAUCUAUCGGUGGAUAUUUUACAUGGAAUGUAUCGACUAAUAUAUCAAUUUGUUAUACAAAAUAUAUAUAAAAUCAAAUUUGAAAGUAUAUUUUCAUAGUAUUUACCUAAAAAACAUCAUAUCUACUAAAAAUAGAAUAAACAAAUUAUUUCCAAAAAAAAAAUUUUGAAAAAAAAUAAUAUUUCCAGAAAAUAUCGGAAAAUAUCAGUAAAUAUCGGAAAAUAUCGAAUAUAUCGGAAUAUAUCGAAAAAUAUCGGCCGAUAUUUUACAGAUACUUUAAGGCGAAAAUUUCGGGAAUAUAUCGUAUCGUUUUCUUUGAAAACCGAUAAAUAUCGCGAUAUAUCGUGAUAUAUCGCGAUAUUUUGUACUAUGACUGUAGUAAUAUCUGCGAGUGGCUCUGCUCUGGCCUCUGCGAGUGAGUCAUUCCCUCAAUCUGGUAAGAAAAGAUCAAUAGUUUGACUUCAUUUUACUGAGGUUAAAGAUCCUAAGCCGAAAAGGCUACAUGUAACUAUUGUGGGACACUGUAUGCUUGUGAAGGAAAGUCCAAUGACAUUAUUAAUAUGAAAGAUCAUAUCUUUAAACGUAAAUGUCACAAAUAUGUUUAUCCUAUACCUAAUUCUCAAACAACUCUAGAUUGCAAACUGAUACAGGUGUUUCCUAUUAGGAGCUUAGUGAUCUUCGAGAUUGGUGUCUUGAGGAUAGACAUUUGCCACCCUACGACUUGGUCGUCGCGAAGCAACGAUACUGCGGGGCCAGCGCGUAACGCCCUAGUUGGGGUUCGAGGCAGCGCCUCGAAAGGUCUUUGGGAUUCUGGAGAGUUCUAAAAAAGGAUUUCCUUAUUCCGGGUGAAUAGGAAAUAGGUUUCUUUGUAUGAUUCGAAGUCAUCCAAGGUUUAUAAAAAGGUGUUUUGGCCAAGGCCAAAACAUAAGAGAGUUAGUUAGGGCUUACCUUGUCUAGAGAGUAUUGUGAGGCAGAAAUUCUUGUAAUCUUCAUAAUAAUCAAUAAAGAAGAUAGUUUCUUCGAGAUCUUGUGUUUUGUUUAUCUUAUUUACUGCUAUUGUUUAAUUCUGCAUUCAAUAGUAUCUUUACCUAGUAAUUUGUAUCACAAACUAACCAAAGAUGGGAAACCACAAAUUAUAUCGGUUAGUUUCAGUUUAGAAGCUUGUAGAAAAGCCCUCACUAAGAUAAUCAUUGUGGAUGAGUUGCCCUUUAGAUUUGUGGAACGGGGGGGGGGUUAGAGAAUUCGUGAAAACUUUACAACCCAAAUUUAUCUUGCCUUUUCGUCAAACUGUUGCUAGGGAUUAUUUUAAGUUUCAUCUGGAUGAAAAGAAAACUUUAAAGAAUGCUUUGAAAGGGCAAAGGGUAUGUCUCACAACCGAUACAUGGACUUCAAUCCAAAAUUUGAACUACAUGGUUCUCACAACCUAUUUAAUUGAUAGUGAUUGGAAAUUGCAAAAAAGAAAAUUUAUGUCAAGUUCCAAACCACAAGGGUGAGACCAUUGGUAAUCUAGCAGAGAAGUGUUUGCAAGAUUGGGAUAUUGGUAGUAUUUUUACAAUUACCAUUGAUAAUGCAAUUCUAGUAAUGUUGUCAUUGAUUACUUGAAGAUAAACACAAGCCAUUGGGAAGGGACUAUUUUAGAACACAAGCAUUUGCACUUGAGAUGUUGUGCAUGAUAAGCACCCAAAACUGUUAUUUAUAGCCCCAAAUAACAUAUUGAUUGUUUUCACAAAUAAUGUAUUUUGCAUAUUUUAAGUGAUGUUUCAGGAAUUGAUGGUCAAAUUAUGGAAUUCACUUAAAUGUGUGCAAUAUAUCAAAACAUAAUAGGAAAAUGGAAGAAAAUACAAGGCUGCAAGGCAAUGUGAACAAGUUUAAUUAUUGCUGACGCCAUCAGUGGCUACUCGCCAGUCAAUUGCACCUGAGAAGUGACCAGUCGCCACCUUGGUAGAGAUUCGAGAGAUGAACUUUUCUGUACAAGCAGUCAGAUGCAUUCAGAAGAAGAAAGUCAAAACCUAAUUCGCAUUAUCAAUGGAGAAAAUCAAGCUCUGAAGGAAUUCAAUUUUUGAAUUGUAUUUUCCCUCCUAUGUUUUAGAUAAAUGAGAGAAUUGUUCUCUCAUUAGAUAAUUUUUGAUUAAUUUGAAAGUUCGAGAAAUUCUCUGCAACUUGUUCUUCUUCUCUUUCAAAAAUAAUAACACCCAUUUUCAUUCAUUGUUUGUGUAUGAUGAUUUAUUGUUUUUAUUCUAUGGUGAUGUCUUCAUCAAGGAUGGAAGCUUAAAUCCCCUUUAAGGGAUCCGAUGAAGCUUCUGAGAUGAGACUCUAAGGGUUUUAGUAAUUUAUUUAAUUUAAUUUUUUUUUUUUUUUGGUUGGCAAGCGAGGUUGUGGGGACCCCUACCCCAUUUAAAUUACGUGUGGAAACUUAUAUCAACAAUCCGCUGUUGACGUGUUUCGAACCCACGACCUCUCCACUUUGUGAGAGGGGUGCUACCAUUGAGCCACAGGCUCAUUCGCGAAAAAGUGGUUUGGUA